UGGCACGCCCGAAGUCGUUACCCCAACCGAAAGGGGGGGGAUGCCUAAGGUAGGACUGAUGACUGGGGUGAAGUCGUAACAAGGUAGCCGUACCGGAAGGUGUGGCUGGAUCACCUCCUUUUAGGGAGACCUAAUCCAUUUAGAAAUCGAAAGCAGUGAAAAUUGUGGGUAGAAACUAAAUUGGUCUAACCUAGGUCGGUCGCAGACUUGAAGUAAAGCUUUCAAACUAUGAUUUGGUUCGAUAAGGGCUAUUAGCUCAGGUGGUUAG
rnacentral:misc_RNA from 1 species